CAUAUGACAAUUAAAUACGUAGAAACAAAGAACUGAAGUCUGAACAGGCCCGAUGUCCUCGUCAUUGUGAGGAAAUACAGUGUGGGAUCAGCCCAACUUGCCCACGCCGACCAACAUGUCCCAUCUACACUAGUCACACAUCCUUUUUCUCCAGAGAUGCUGCCUGACCCGUUGUGUUACGCCAGAACUUUGUGCCUAACUUUGACUAUUAAACACUCUUUGCCCUCUCUCUCUCUUGAGUCUAGCCUUUGCUCUGAGUCCAGCGUUAGUGACUGAUGAUAGAACCCAGUCUGUCCAGACGAGUUUAACGUUACCCCCAGCCCUGAGCUGCCAUCACAGCACAAACUAACGCAGAAGACAGGCAGAAGACACAAAAGCUUGAAACCAAACACCACCUGGUCCAUUCAGAUUCCCGUAGAGUACUGGAAAGUGUAAGGGUCACCACGCAACAUCCACCAUCAGAAUAACCAGCAGAGCCAAACCUGAUCAAAGAGCCUGAGGAAGGAUCCUGGCCCGAAUCAUCACCUAUCCAUGUUCUCCAGAGAUGCUGCCCGACCUGCAUGGUACUGAAUUAAUUAUUUGAUGUGAUUUGCCUCCAGUGCGGCCAUGCGUGGUGGAAUUUUGGGAGUGAUUAAUGGGAAUGUGGGGAGAAUGAGGUGGGAUUAGUGUUAAUGUUGAUGCAUGGGAGUUUACACAUCCUGGUUGGGUCUGUUUGCGUCUCUGGGGGUGGGUAAGGUGGCAACAAGGGCACCGUAUGCCGGCUGUGUGCCACAACCAGGCAGCACCUGCAAUAGAUUCCCUUUGAUGGUGAGGAGGUAAGUAUCUGCGAUGAACCGGGGAGUGUCCGCCGCUCUCUGUAAUCUCCUUCGUUGCUGGGGGUUCGAGUUGCUGAACCAGGCCGUGAUGCAACCAGUCAAUAUGCUCUCUGCCAUAUACCCGGAGGAAUUAGAGAACAUAUUUGUUGACGUACCGAGUCUCCACAGUCUUCUCAGGAAGUAGAUGUGUUGAUGGGCUUUCUUAUGGUUGCACCAUGGUGCUAAGCCCAGGAUAGAUCUUCAGGGUUGUGCACACCCAGACGUCUCCCACUUCCUCCAAAUCAAAGGCGUAGCUAUGGGCACUCGCAUGGGCCCAGCUAUACCUGCCUCUUUGUACAAUCCCUAUUCCAGGUGUACACUGGCCCUAUCCCCGAACUCUAACUCUAUCUAAUGCCGCUGCUCGCCUUUUAACAGGGACUUGAAAGAGGGAGCACAUAUCGCCAAUUCUGGCCUCCCUACACUGGCUCCCGGUGCACUUUCGAGUUCAUUUUAAGAUACUGUUAUUUGUUUUUAAAUCUCUGAAUGGGCUCGCCCCGCCUUACCUCUCUGAGCUGCUCCACCCAUACGCUCCUGCCCGGUCCCUCAGGUCAGCUGGUCAGCUGCUCCUGGAGGUACUGAGGUCUAGUCGGAGGCUCAGAGGGGAUAGAGCCUUCUCUGUUGCUGCUCCUGCACUCUGGAACACCCUGCCGUUGCACAUCAGACAGGCCCCCUCUCUGUCCAUCUUCAAAUCCAGUGUUAAAACACAUUUGUACUCCCUGGCUUUUGACCAUGCCUGAGGCUUUGCUUCUGUUUGUGGUGUUUUUGAUGUUUCUUUAUUUUACAUGUCUUUUCCUACUAUUUCUUUUGAUUGUUAUUUUUGGUGUGUAUUAACUUUUUUGUCAAUGAUUAGUGAUGUACAGCACUUUGUUGCAGCUAUGUUUGUUUUUAAAUUGCUCUAUAAAUAAAAUUAUUAUUAUUA